AGAGUUUGAUUAUGGCUCAGGAUGAACGCUAGCUACAGGCUUAACACAUGCAAGUCGAGGGGUAGCAGGGUAGCAAUACCGCUGACGACCGGCGCACGGGUGAGUAACACGUAUCCAACCUUCCCAUAACUCAGGGAUAGCCCUUCGAAAGAAAGAUUAAUACCUGAUAGUACUUUUUCAAGGCAUCUUGAAAAGUUAAAGAUUUAUUGGUUAUGGAUGGGAUGCGUUCCAUUAGAUAGUUGGUGAGGUAACGGCUCACCAAGUCUUCGAUGGAUAGGGGUUCUGAGAGGAAGGUCCCCACAUUGGUACUGAGACACGGACCAAACUCCUACGGGAGGCAGCAGUGAGGAAUAUUGGUCAAUGGGCGAGAGCCUGAACCAGCCAAGUAGCGUGAAGGAAUGAAGGUCCUAUGGAUUGUAAACUUCUUUUAUAGUAGAAUAAAGUGAGCCACGUGUGGUUUUUUGUAUGUAUACUAUGAAUAAGGAUCGGCUAACUCCGUGCCAGCAGCCGC
rnacentral:rRNA from 1 species